rnacentral:rRNA from 1 species
GUGGGGAAUCUUGCGCAAUGGGCGAAAGCCUGACGCAGCAACGCCGCGUGGGGGAUGAAGGCUCUCGGGUUGUAAACCCCUUUCAGCAGGGACGAACGAAGACGGUACCUGCAGAAGAAGCUCCGGCUAACUACGUGCCAGCAGCCGCGGUAACACGUAGGGGGCAAGCGUUGUCCGGAUUUAUUGGGCGUAAAGAGCUCGUAGGUGGCUGAGUAAGUCGGAUGUUAAAUCCCCAGGCUCAACCUGGGACACCACCCGAUACUGCUCUGGCUAGAGUCCGGUAGGGGAGCGUGGAAUUCCUGGUGUAGCGGUGAAAUGCGCAGAUAUCAGGAGGAACACCAGCGGCGAAGGCGGCGCUCUGGGCCGGUACUGACACUGAGGAGCGAAGGCGUGGGUAGCAAACAGGAUUAGAAACCCCGGUAGUCC